rnacentral:rRNA from 1 species
GAAGAACCUUACCUACUCUUGACAUCCAGCGAAUCCUUUAGAGAUAGAGGAGUGCCUUCGGGAACGCUGAGACAGGUGCUGCAUGGCUGUCGUCAGCUCGUGUUGUGAAAUGUUGGGUUAAGUCCCGCAACGAGCGCAACCCUUAUCCUUUGUUGCCAGCGCGUAAUGGCGGGAACUCAAAGGAGACUGCCGGUGAUAAACCGGAGGAAGGUGGGGAUGACGUCAAGUCAUCAUGGCCCUUACGAGUAGGGCUACACACGUGCUACAAUGGCAGAUACAAAGAGAAGCGACCUCGCGAGAGCAAGCGGAACUCAUAAAGUCUGUCGUAGUCCGGAUUGGAGUCUGCAACUCGACUCCAUGAAGU